AUGAAGCAUCGUCGGGGCCGCCGGAGCUUCGAUGGUGCUGCAACGAAGCAUCGCCAGUGCUGUGUUGGAGCAUUGCCGGCCCGCCGGAGCAUUGUCGGUGCUUCAAUGGAGCUUCGCCGAAGCUGCAAUGAAGCAUCGUCGGGGCCGCCAGAGCUUAGCGGGUGCUGCAACGAAGCAUCGUCGGUGCUGUAUUGGAGCAUUGCCGGCCGGCCAGAGCAUUGUCGGUGCUUCAAUGGAGCUUCGACGGUGGUUCAAGGGGUGGUCACAGCAAUGAUGUUGCUGCUGCCGUGGCCCGUGUAUGGUGAGCUCGUCGGCGUUUUUGGCAUGAGAUGA
rnacentral:rRNA from 1 species